rnacentral:tRNA from 2 species
GGGCGUGUGGCAGAGCGGCGAUUGCACCUGACUGUAGAUCAGGCGGGCCUCUGGCCCUUCGGUGGUUCGAGUCCAUCCACGCCCA